CUCUGUGAAUAUACUCAAAAGCUUUGAAAACAAAAGUUGAGGUGCUACAAACUAGAGGAUCUAAUCACAGUCACAGAACAGUUGCCCAUGCUUAGUGGCAAGAGGCUGUAUCCCGAGGACUUUUGUGUUUCCAGAUUUCUCCAAAGGAGAAUUACGGUUUGGCAGGUGGAAUGAGAAGUAGAAAAGGCUGACGAUGCAACUAACCUUAAGGAGGGGGAGGACAAAGGGUGAAGACCAGGUCAGUGUGGAGAAAGGGAGGUUGUAGGCUGUUAGUGCUUUAGGGGAAAACAGCAACGAGCUUUUCUCUCCUCUCUGGGGAUCCUGGUCAGCUUCACAAUGGUGGCCCAGAAAUCAGUCUCAGUCCCUCCUAGCAUGGACCGCUCCUUGAUGACGGCCCUCUGUCCUCUAAAGGCAGAUGCAAGCUACGUUUGUGUGGGGAUGACACAGCACAAAGGCCCUUGCCAGAUGUGAGCCCCUUGAUACUGGAUGUCCCAGUCUUCAGAACUGUAUCUUUGAAUUGGCUGUGUCCCUCGACUGGAAGCCCUCAUUUUUCUCAGGACCUCUAACUCUGCAAUGUUCUCUUCUCCCUGUUCCUGGUAACUGCUCCCCAAACCCUACUUCAGGUAAUAGUCUCCAUGAUUCUCCUGAAUUGAAACCUUUGUAAAUAAACCCUCCUCAAAUGAUCUGAGUUAAAAUGGCCAUCUGUUUCUAUCGGGAUGCAGACACUCUCUGGGUAAAAACAUGAAUGCUCCAAAGUUGCUCUCCCUGUUUCCCAAGAUAUGUGGUGGUCAAUGAUUAAAAAAAGACAAGACUUCUUGUGAAGCUGCAA